CAGGUGAAAGUAUAGAAUUGUACACGUGAUUUCGGCUCACGAAGGGAAAGGUUUCUCAUCUGU
rnacentral:tRNA from 1 species